rnacentral:rRNA from 1 species
UUCGUAAGUGGCGAGCGUUAUCCGGAAUUACUGGGCGUAAAGCGUUCGUAGGCGGUGCAGUAAGUUGGGUUUGAAAGCCCGGGGCUCAACUCCGGACCCGGAUCCAAAACUACUGUACUUGAGCAUGUCAGGGGGCAGCGGAAUUCCCGGUGUAGCGGUAAUAUGCGUAGAUAUCGGGAGGAACACCAGUGGCGAAGGCGGCUGCCUGGGGUAUUGCUGACGCUGAGGAACGAAGGCCAGGGGAGCGAACGGG